rnacentral:misc_RNA from 1 species
GAAACGCGAAAGGUAAUGCGAAUUGCAGAAUCAGUGAGUCAUCGAAUCUUUGAACGCACAUUGCGCCUCUCGGUAUUCCGGGAGGCACGCCUGUUCGAGCGCCAUUACAAACUCCAAGCGUGGCUUGAUGUUGGGCGAUGUCUUUUUGCGAGAGCGGAGACACGCCUGGAACGCGUUGGCGCCGCCGCCGUACCACGAGCGUAGCAAGACGAGAGUCAAUCGCAUCGAUUUGGAUUCCGACGGAGGUCCGCCAUGGGACUGCACUUUCGAGUGUAAGUCCACAACUUCUCAAGUUUGGCCUCGGAUCAGGCGGGGAUACCCGCUGAACUUAAGC